GAUGAACGCUGGCGGCGUGCCUAAUACAUGCAAGUCGAGCGAACAGACGAGGAGCUUGCUCCUCUGACGUUAGCGGCGGACGGGUGAGUAACACGUGGAUAACCUACCUAUAAGACUGGGAUAACUUCGGGAAACCGGAGCUAAUACCGGAUAAUAUAUUGAACCGCAUGGUUCAAUAGUGAAAGACGGUUUUGCUGUCACUUAUAGAUGGAUCCGCGCCGCAUUAGCUAGUUGGUAAGGUAACGGCUUACCAAGGCGACGAUGCGUAGCCGACCUGAGAGGGUGAUCGGCCACACUGGAACUGAGACACGGUCCAGACUCCUACGGGAGGCAGGAGUAGGGAAUCUUCCGCAAUGGGCGAAAGCCUGACGGAGCAACGCCGCGUGAGUGAUGAAGGUCUUCGGAUCGUAAAACUCUGUUAUUAGGGAAGAACAAAUGUGUAAGUAACUAUGCACGUCUUGACGGUACCUAAUCAGAAAGCCACGGCUAACUACGU
rnacentral:rRNA from 1 species